AAGCGUUGUCCGGAAUUACUGGGCGUAAAGCGUGCGCAGGCGGUUAUAUAAGACAGAUGUGAAAUCCCCGGGCUCAACCUGGGGAACUGCAUUAGUGACUGUAUAGCUGGAGUGCGGCAGAGGGGGAUGGAAUUCCGCGUGUAGCAGUGAAAUGCGUAGAUAUGCGGAGGAACACCGAUGGCGAAGGCAAUCCCCUGGGCCUGCACUGACGCUCAUGCACGAAAGCGUGGGGAGC
rnacentral:rRNA from 1 species